rnacentral:rRNA from 2 species
UACGAGGGGGGCAAGCGUUGUUCGGAAUUAUUGGGCGUAAAGGGCGCGUAGGCGGUUUGGCAAGUUUCGUGUGAAAUCUUCGGGCUCAACUCGAAGUCUGCACGGAAAACUGCCGGGCUUGAGUAUGGGAGAGGUGAGUGGAAUUUCCGGUGUAGCGGUGAAAUGCGUAGAUAUCGGAAGGAACACCUGUGGCGAAAGCGGCUCACUGGACCAUUACUGACGCUGAGGCGCGAAAGCUAGGGGAGCAAACAGG